CCUGCACGACAAUAAGAACUGCGAGGAAGGGGGAUCAGCCUUUGCAGCCGCCAAUCGGCCUUAACAGUUCCUGGGUGGAGCUACCCAUGAACAGCAGCAAUGGCAACGAGAAUGGCAAAGGGAAGAAUGGGGGUCUGGAGCACAUCCCUUCCUCAUCCUGCAUCCACAGUGGAGACAUGGAGAAGGUCCUUCUGGACACACAGCAUGAAUCAGGACAGAGCAGUUCCAGAGGCACCUCUCACUGUGACAGCCUCUCGCCGCAAGGGGACGGGCAGAUUAUGUUCGACGUGGAGAUGCACACCAGCAGGGACCACAGCUGUCAGUCAGAAGAAGAAACUGUAGAAGGAGAGAAGGAAGAGGCUUCAAAGAAAAGUGCAGAUUGGGUAUCGGACUGGUCUAGCAGACCCGAAAACAUUCCACCCAAGGAGUUCCACUUCAGACGCCCAAAGCGCUCCGUGUCUCUGAGCAUGAGGAAAAGUGGAGCCAUGAAGAACCGCGGCAUUUUCUCCGCAGAGUUUCUGAAGGCGUUCAUCCCGUCUCUCUUCCUCUCUCACACUUUGGCCUUGGGACUAGGCAUCUACAUCGAAAAACGACCGAGCACACCUUCUGCCAGCACCUACUGAGGAAGGGAGCACUGCUGGAGACAAGCGCGGCCUGUGAAGCGGUGUAUUGUCUCACAGUCUAUCUGAACUUGAAACCAUCGGAAGCAUGACCCAACCUACCACCCUGUUUUUACAAAACCAAUCCUGGUAACUCUUCGAUCAGUAUUUUAUUCAAACUCUGACGAGGCAUUCUACUAACCUUAUUCCCUUUUUG